AGUGAACGCUGGCGGUAGGCCUAACACAUGCAAGUCGAACGGCAGCACAGUAAGAGCUUGCUCUUACGGGUGGCGAGUGGCGGACGGGUGAGGAAUACAUCGGAAUCUACUUUUUCGUGGGGGAUAACGUAGGGAAACUUACGCUAAUACCGCAUACGACCUACGGGUGAAAGCAGGGGAUCUUCGGACCUUGCGCGAUUGAAUGAGCCGAUGUCGGAUUAGCUAGUUGGCGGGGUAAAGGCCCACCAAGGCGACGAUCCGUAGCUGGUCUGAGAGGAUGAUCAGCCACACUGGAACUGAGACACGGUCCAGGCUCCUACGGGAGGCAGCAGUGGGGAAUAUUGGACAAUGGGCGCAAGCCUGAUCCAGCCAUACCGCGUGGGUGAAAAAGGCCUUCGGGUUGUAAAGCCCUUUUGUUGGGAAAGAAAAGCAGCAGGUUAAUACCCCGCUGUUCUGACGGUACCCAAAGAAUAAGCACCGGCUAACUUCGUG
rnacentral:rRNA from 1 species